UUUAUUUAUAUAAAAUAACAGUUUUUUCUAAUACAAUCGGAAUUUGACAUUCAAUUUGAUGCAUUCCACAUUUUUCACGAUGCCUAUACCACGUGACUUUUUAAGAUCUGUGUGGGGAGUUAAAUGUCAACAAAGGCACGACAAAGUAAUCACCUAUUUGGCACUAGUGAGCGGACAAGGGUUAAGGGAAGAAAAAAUAGAGGAAACAGUUUCACGAGACAAGAAUGCUAUACAGAAGGGGACACUAGGAGUAAGGUGGGAGCGGGCGAGACGAAACGAUAGCAAACUGUUGCCAACAAUAAGAAUGCGGAUAGACGAACACAAUGGACAUUUUAAUUCUGACACAAAUUCUGCAAUAGAAAUUGUGUCAAAUAUUACGCAGGUUGACAAAAAGCAAAGGCAUGUUCUUUCCUGAGUAAUACGUAUGUUUUAAAAUCAAAUUUGGAAUGCAAACUGAUAAAACAGAAUCCACCAGA